rnacentral:rRNA from 1 species
UACGGGGGGGGCAAGCGUUGUUCGGAAUUACUGGGCGUAAAGGGUUCGUAGGUGGCCUGCUAAGUCAGACGUGAAAUCCCUCAGCUUAACUGGGGAACUGCGUCUGAGACUGGCGGGCUUGAGUGCAGGAGAGGAACGCGGAAUUCCAGGUGUAGCGGUGAAAUGCGUAGAUAUCUGGAGGAACACCGGCGGCGAAGGCGGCGUUCUGGACUGUUACUGACACUGAGGAACGAAAGCCAGGGGAGCAAACGGG